UACGUAGGUGACAAGCGUUGUCCGGAAUUAUUGGGCGUAAAGCGCGCGCAGGUGGUUUCUUAAGUCUGAUGUGAAAGCCCACGGCUCAACCGUGGAGGGUCAUUGGAAACUGGGGAACUUGAGUGCAGAAGAGGAAAGUGGAAUUCCAAGUGUAGCGGUGAAAUGCGUAGAGAUUUGGAGGAACACCAGUGGCGAAGGCGACUUUCUGGUCUGUAACUGACACUGAGGCGCGAAAGCGUGGGGAGCGAACAGG
rnacentral:rRNA from 1 species